rnacentral:rRNA from 1 species
AGUGAACGCUGGCGGUAGGCCUAACACAUGCAAGUCGAACGGCAGCACAGUAAGAGCUUGCUCUUACGGGUGGCGAGUGGCGGACGGGUGAGGAAUACAUCGGAAUCUACUUUUUCGUGGGGGUUAACGUAGGGAAACUUACUCUAAUACCGCAUACGACCUACGGGUGAAAGCAUGGGAUCUUCUGACCUUGCGCGAUUGGAUGCGCCGAUGUCGGAUUAGCUAGUUGGCGGGGUAAAGGCCCACCAAGGCGACGAUCCGUAGCUGGUCUGAGAGGAUGAUCAGCCACACUGGAACUGAGACACGGUCCAGACUCCUACGGGAGGCAGCAGUGGGGAAUAUUGGACAAAGGGCGCAAGCCUGAUCCAGCCAUACCGCGUGGGUGAAGAAGGCCUUCGGGUUGUAAAGCCCUUUUGUUGGGAAAGAAAAGCAGCAGGUUAAUACCCCGCUGUUCUGACGGUACCCAAAGAAUAAGCACCGGCUAACUUCGUG